rnacentral:rRNA from 1 species
UAGGUAACGGCUACCAAGGCGAUGAUGCAUAGCCCGAGUUGAGAGACUGAUCGGCCACAUUGGGACUGAGACACGGCCCAAACUCCUACGGGAGGCAGCAGUAGGGAAUCUUCCACAAUGGACGAAAGUCUGAUGGAGCAACGCCGCGUGAGUGAAGAAGGUUUUCGGAUCGUAAAGCUCUGUUGUUGGUGAAGAAGGAUAGAGGUAGUAACUGGCCUUUAUUUGACGGUAAUCAACAGAAAGUCACGGCUAACUACGUGCCAGCAGCCGCGGUAAU